UCUUAAGCACGCAUGUAAUUAAGAUUAAAGAUUUAUCGGUGUACGAUGGGGAUGCGCUCCAUUAGGUAGUAGGCGGGGUAACGGCCCACCUAGCCUACGAUGGAUAGGGGUUCUGAGAGGAAGGUCCCCCACAUUGGAACUGAGACACGGUCCAAACUCCUACGGGAGGCAGCAGUGAGGAAUAUUGGUCAAUGGACGAGAGUCUGAACCAGCCAAGUAGCGUGAAGGAUGAAGGUCCUACGGAUUGUAAACUUCUUUUAUAAGGGAAUAAAACCUCCCACGUGUGGGAGCUUGUAUGUACCUUAUGAAUAAGCAUCGGCUAACCCCGUGCCAGCAGCCGCGGUAAUACGGAGGAUGCAAGCGUUAUCCGGAUUUAUUGGGUUUAAAGGGAGCGCAGACGGGUCGUUAAGUCAGCUGUGAAAGUUUGGGGCUCAACCUUAAAAUUGCAGUUGAUACUGGCGUCCUUGAGUGCGGUUGAGGUGUGCGGAAUUCGUGGUGUAGCGGUGAAAUGCUUAGAUAUCACGAAGAGCUCCGAUUG
rnacentral:rRNA from 1 species